rnacentral:tRNA from 1 species
GUGGUGGCUCAGUGGUAGAGUGCUUGCCUAGCAUGCAUGAGGCACUGGGUUCGAUCCCUGGCACCACA